rnacentral:rRNA from 1 species
AUUGAACGCUGGCGGCAGGCCUAACACAUGCAAGUCGAACGAGUGGCGGACGGGUGAGUAAUGUCUGGGAAACUGCCUGAUGGAGGGGGAUAACUACUGGAAACGGUAGCUAAUACCGCAUACCAUCGGAUGUGCCCAGAUGGGAUUAGCUAGUAGGUGGGGUAACGGCUCACCUAGGCGACGAUCCCUAGCUGGUCUGAGAGGAUGACCAGCCACACUGGAACUGAGACACGGGCCAGACUCCUACGGGGGGGAGGAGGGGGGAAUAUUUCAUAAUGGGCGCAAGCCUGAUGCAGCCAGGCCGGGUGUAUGAAGAAGGCCUGCGGGUUGUAAAGUAAUUUGAGCGGGGAGGCGUUACCCGCAGAAGAAGCACCGGCUAACUCCGUGCCAGCAGCCGCGGUAAUU